rnacentral:rRNA from 1 species
CCUACGGGUGGCAGCAGUGGGGAAUAUUGCACAAUGGGGGAAACCCUGAUGCAGCGACGCCGCGUGAGCGAUGAAGUAUUUCGGUAUGUAAAGCUCUAUCAGCAGGGAAGAAAAUGACGGUACCUGACUAAGAAGCCCCGGCUAACUACGUGCCAGCAGCCGCGGUAAUACGUAGGGUGCGAGCGUUAAGCGGAAUUACUGGGCGUAAAGCGCUCGUAGGCGGUAUGUCAAGUCAAGGGUGAAAUCCCCGCGCUCAACGUGGGAACUGCCUUUGAAACUGGCAAACUGGAGUGUGUGAGAGGAUAGUGGAAGUCCAGGGGUAGGAGUGAAAUCCGUAGAUAUCUGGAGGAGCAUCAGUGGCGAAGGCGACCUGCUAGAACAUAACUGACGCUGAUGCGCGAAAGCGUGGGGAGCAAACAGGAUUAGAUACCCUUGUAGUC